ACCGAUAAAACUGGAGAGCGCCGGACCGGACCACCAAGCGUGGCGCGGCAUGCGGCCGCCGAAGGGGCAAGCCGGCACCCGUGGUGGGUGCGGCGAAUCUCUCAGGCAAAAGGACAGUGGGGGCAGA
rnacentral:ncRNA from 2 species